CGACGCUUAUGCGUUGUUGGGUAGGGGAGCGUUCUGUAAGCCUGUGAAGGUGUGCUGUGAGGCAUGCUGGAGGUAUCAGAAGUGCGAAUGCUGACAUAAGUAACGAUAAAGCGGGUGAAAAGCCCGCUCGCCGGAAGACCAAGGGUUCCUGUCCAACGUUAAUCGGGGCAGGGUGAGUCGACCCCUAAGGCGAGGCCGAAAGGCGUAGUCGAUGGGAAACAGGUUAAUAUUCCUGUACUUGGUGUUACUGCGAAGGGGGGACGGAGAAGGCUAUGUUGGCCGGGCGACGGUUGUCCCGGUUUAAGCGUGUAGGCUGGUUUUCCAGGCAAAUCCGGAAAAUCAAGGCUGAGGCGUGAUGACGAGGCACUACGGUGCUGAAGCAACAAAUGCCCUGCUUCCAGGAAAAGCCUCUAAGCAUCAGGUAACAUCAAAUCGUACCCCAAACCGACACAGGUGGUCAGGUAGAGAAUACCAAGGCGCUUGAGAGAACUCGGGUGAAGGAACUAGGCAAAAUGGUGCCGUAACUUCGGGAGAAGGCACGCUGAUAUGUAGGUGAAGUCCCUCGCGGAUGGAGCUGAAAUCAGUCGAAGAUACCAGCUGGCUGCAACUGUUUAUUAAAAACACAGCACUGUGCAAACACGAAAGUGGACGUAUACGGUGUGACGCCUGCCCGGUGCCGGAAGGUUAAUUGAUGGGGUCAGCGCAAGCGAAGCUCUUGAUCGAAGCCCCGGUAAACGGCGGCCGUAACUAUAACGGUCCUAAGGUAGCGAAAUUCCUUGUCGGGUAAGUUCCGACCUGCACGAAUGGCGUAAUGAUGGCCAGGCUGUCUCCACCCGAGACUCAGUGAAAUUGAACUCGCUGUGAAGAUGCAGUGUACCCGCGGCAAGACGGAAAGACCCCGUGAACCUUUACUAUAGCUUGACACUGAACAUUGAGCCUUGAUGUGUAGGAUAGGUGGGAGGCUUAGAAGUGUGGACGCCAGUCUGCAUGGAGCCGACCUUGAAAUACCACCCUUUAAUGUUUGAUGUUCUAACGUUGACCCGUAAUCCGGGUUGCGGACAGUGUCUGGUGGGUAGUUUGACUGGGGCGGUCUCCUCCUAAAGAGUAACGGAGGAGCACGAAGGUUGGCUAAUCCUGGUCGGACAUCAGGAGGUUAGUGCAAUGGCAUAAGCCAGCUUGACUGCGAGCGUGACGGCGCGAGCAGGUGCGAAAGCAGGUCAUAGUGAUCCGGUGGUUCUGAAUGGAAGGGCCAUCGCUCAACGGAUAAAAGGUACUCCGGGGAUAACAGGCUGAUACCGCCCAAGAGUUCAUAUCGACGGCGGUGUUUGGCACCUCGAUGUCGGCUCAUCACAUCCUGGGGCUGAAGUAGGUCCCAAGGGUAUGGCUGUUCGCCAUUUAAAGUGGUACGCGAGCUGGGUUUAGAACGUCGUGAGACAGUUCGGUCCCUAUCUGCCGUGGGCGCUGGAGAACUGAGGGGGGCUGCUCCUAGUACGAGAGGACCGGAGUGGACGCAUCACUGGUGUUCGGGUUGUCAUGCCAAUGGCACUGCCCGGUAGCUAAAUGCGGAAGAGAUAAGUGCUGAAAGCAUCUAAGCACGAAACUUGCCCCGAGAUGAGUUCUCCCUGAC
rnacentral:rRNA from 1 species